rnacentral:rRNA from 1 species
AGCAGCAGCCGCGGGAAUACGAAGGGUGCAAGCGUUAAUCGGAAUUACUGGGCGUAAAGCGUGCGUAGGCGGUGAGUUAAGUCUGCUGUGAAAUCCCCGGGCUCAACCUGGGAAUGGCAGUGGAUACUGGCUCGCUAGAGUGUGUCAGAGGAUGGUGGAAUUCCCGGUGUAGCGGUGAAAUGCGUAGAGAUCGGGAGGAACAUCAGUGGCGAAGGUGGCCAUCUGGGACAACACUGACGCUGAGGCACGAAAGCGUGGGGAGCAAACAGGAUUAGAUACCCCUGUAGUCCCUGUCUCUUAUAC